UUUUUUAAUUGGAGGCUGGAAUGAAUGGUUGAGACUGAGAGGAGUGUUUUAUUUUAUGAAUUUGAAUUUAAAUUAAAAAUAAAAAUGUUUUUAUAAAUUCUUGGGACGAGAAGACCCUAGAAGCUUAAAAUUUUAAGAUUUUUGGUUGGGGCAAUUUUUGAAGAGAAAGAUUUUUAUUAGAAUAAAAUUUGAUGAUAAAGUUACUCUAGGGAUAACAGCGUUAUUUAAUUGAUAAGUUCUUAUUAAUAGUUAAGUUUGCGACCUCGAUGUUGAAUUAAUU
rnacentral:rRNA from 1 species